UGUGAUGGGGAAGCUCCUUAUGGAGCGAAGUCUUUGAUUCCCCGCUGCCAAGAAAAGCUUCUAGCGAGAUAAAAGGUGCCUGUACCGCAAACCGACACAGGUAGGCGAGGAGAGAAUCCUAAGGUGUGCGAGAGAACUCUGGUUAAGGAACUCGGCAAAAUGACCCCGUAACUUCGGGAGAAGGGGUGCUUUCUUAACGGAAAGCCGCAGUGAAUAGGCCCAAGCGACUGUUUAGCAAAAACACAGCUCUCUGCGAAGCCGUAAGGCGAAGUAUAGGGGGUGACACCUGCCCGGUGCUGGAAGGUUAAGGAGAGGGGUUAGCGUAAGCGAAGCUCUGAACUGAAGCCCCAGUAAACGGCGGCCGUAACUAUAACGGUCCUAAGGUAGCGAAAUUCCUUGUCGGGUAAGUUCCGACCCGCACGAAAGGUGUAACGAUUUGGGCACUGUCUCAACCAGAGACUCGGUGAAAUUAUAGUACCUGUGAAGAUGCAGGUUACCCGCGACAGGACGGAAAGACCCCGUGGAGCUUUACUGUAGCCUGAUAUUGAAUUUUGGUACAUUUUGUACAGGAUAGGCGGGAGCCAUUGAAACCGGAGCGCUAGCUUCGGUGGAGGCGCUGGUGGGAUACCGCCCUGAAUGUAUUGAAAUUCUAACCUACGGGUCUUAUCGACCCGGGAGACAGUGUCAGGUGGGCAGUUUGACUGGGGCGGUCGCCUCCUAAAGUGUAACGGAGGCGCCCAAAGGUUCCCUCAGAAUGGUUGGAAAUCAUUCGUAGAGUGCAAAGGCAUAAGGGAGCUUGACUGCGAGACCUACAAGUCGAGCAGGGACGAAAGUCGGGCUUAGUGAUCCGGUGGUUCCGCAUGGAAGGGCCAUCGCUCAACGGAUAAAAGCUACCCCGGGGAUAACAGGCUUAUCUCCCCCAAGAGUCCACAUCGACGGGGAGGUUUGGCACCUCGAUGUCGGCUCAUCGCAUCCUGGGGCUGUAGUCGGUCCCAAGGGUUGGGCUGUUCGCCCAUUAAAGCGGUACGCGAGCUGGGUUCAGAACGUCGUGAGACAGUUCGGUCCCUAUCCGUCGUGGGCGUAGGAAAUUUGAGAGGAGCUGUCCUUAGUACGAGAGGACCGGGAUGGACGCACCGCUGGUGUACCAGUUGUUCUGCCAAGGGCAUAGCUGGGUAGCUAUGUGCGGAAGGGAUAAGUGCUGAAAGCAUCUAAGCAUGAAGCCCCCCUCAAGAUGAGAUUUCCCAUAGCGUAAGCUAGUAAGAUCCCUGAAAGAUGAUCAGGUUGAUAGGUUCGAGGUGGAAGCAUGGUGACAUGUGGAGCUGACGAAUACUAAUAGAUCGAGGACUUAACCAUAUAA
rnacentral:rRNA from 1 species